CCUACGGGGUGCAGCAGUGAGGAAUAUUGCUCAAUGGACGAGAGUCUGAACCAGCCAAGUAGCGUGAAGGAUGACUGCCCUCUGGUUUUUAAACUUCUUUUAUAUGGGAAUAAAAUGUUCCACGUGUGGGAUUUUGUAUGUACCAUAUUAAUCCGGAUCGGCUAACUCCGUUCCAGCAGCCGCGGUAAUACGGAGUAUCCGAGCGUUAUCCGGAUUUAUUGGGUUUAAAGGGUGCGUAGGUGGAUUGUUAAGUCAGAUGUGAAAUUUUGCGGCUAAACCGUAAAAUUGCAGUUGAAACUGGCAGUCUAGAGUACAGUAGAGGUGGGCGGAAUUCGUGGUGUAGCGGUGAAAUGCUUAGAGAUCAAGAAGAACUCUGAUUGCGAAGGCAGUUCACUGGACCGCAACUGACACUGAGGCUCGAAAGUGUGGGUAUCAAACAGGAUUAGAUACCCUGGUAGUC
rnacentral:rRNA from 1 species